rnacentral:rRNA from 2 species
UUGAUCGAGCUACCAUGCAGUCGAGCGGGGCAAGCGAGAAGCUUGCUGCUUUGCCGGCGAGCGGCGGACGGGUGAGUAAUGUCUGGGAAACUGCCUGAUGGAGGGGGAUAACUACUGGAAACGGUAGCUAAUACCGCAUAACGUCGCAAGACCAAAGAGGGGGACCUUCGGGCCUCUUGCCAUCGGAUGUGCCCAGAUGGGAUUAGCUAGUAGGUGGGGUAACGGCUCACCUAGGCGACGAUCCCUAGCUGGUCUGAGAGGAUGACCAGCCACACUGGAACUGAGACACGGUCCAGACUCCUACGGGAGGCAGCAGUGGGGAAUAUUGCACAAUGGGCGCAAGCCUGAUGCAGCCAUGCCGCGUGUAUGAAGAAGGCCUUCGGGUUGUAAAGUACUUUCAGCGGGGAGGAAGGGAGUAAGGUUAAUAACUUUGCCCAUUGACGUUACCCGCAGAAGAAGCACCGGCUAACUCCGUGCCAGCAGCCGCGGUAAUACGGAGGGUGCAAGCGUUAAUCGGAAUUACUGGGCGUAAAGCGCACGCAGGCGGUCUGUCAAGUCAGAUGUGAAAUCCCCGGGCUCAACCUGGGAACUGCAUUCGAAACUGGCAGGCUAGAGUCUUGUAGAGGGGGGUAGAAUUCCAGGUGUAGCGGUGAAAUGCGUAGAGAUCUGGAGGAAUACCGGUGGCGAAGGCGGCCCCCUGGACGAAGACUGACGCUCAGGUGCGAAAGCGUGGGGAGCAAACAGGAUUAGAUACCCUGGUAGUCCACGCCGUAAACGAUGUCGACUUGGAGGUUGUGCCCUUGAGGCGUGGCUUCCGGAGCUAACGCGUUAAGUCGACCGCCUGGGGAGUACGGCCGCAAGGUUAAAACUCAAAUGAAUUGACGGGGGCCCGCACAAGCGGUGGAGCAUGUGGUUUAAUUCGAUGCAACGCGAAGAACCUUACCUGCUCUUGACAUCCACAGAACUUUCCAGAGAUGGAUUGGUGCCUUCGGGAACUGUGAGACAGGUGCUGCAUGGCUGUCGUCAGCUCGUGUUGUGAAAUGUUGGGUUAAGUCCCGCAACGAGCGCAACCCUUAUCCUUUGUUGCCAGCGGUCCGGCCGGGAACUCAAAGGAGACUGCCAGUGAUAAACUGGAGGAAGGUGGGGAUGACGUCAAGUCAUCAUGGCCCUUACGACCAGGGCUACACACGUGCUACAAUGGCGCAUACAAAGAGAAGCGACCUCGCGAGAGCAAGCGGACCUCAUAAAGUGCGUCGUAGUCCGGAUUGGAGUCUGCAACUCGACUCCAUGAAGUCGGAAUCGCUAGUAAUCGUAGAUCAGAAUGCCACGGUGAAUACGUUCCCGGGCCUUGUACACACCGCCCGUCACACCAUGGGAGUGGGUUGCAAAAGAAGUAGGUAGCUUAACCUUCGGGAGGGCGCUACCACUUGUAUGCCCA